GUUUUCAAAGGAUAACAGCUCAUCCAUUGGUCUUAGGAACCAAAAACUCUUGGUGCAAAUCCAAGUGAAAACA
rnacentral:tRNA from 1 species